UGGCGGAGCUAGGGGGUGGCUUAGGGGGCUUAAGCCCCGAAUCUUUUUUUAGUGUUUUAAAUUCCCGGCAACUGUUAUUUCCAAUAUAACUUCCCCUCGGUUUCUCUAUAAAUGUCACCAAAUGCUCUAUUACUGAGGAAAUAUAUCCCUUAUUUUCAAAGCCCAAUAUUGAAAAAUAAUUUGACUUGCUACACGAUCUAUGCCAGGUCUCUGGGCUAUGGUGAUUUCAAUGGUUAGAUUGAUUUGUUUAUCAAAUGCUGCCUUGACAACGCUACGUCAUGGCUUCGGUGUUCCAAAAAGCCUCUGUCAGAAGUCUGUCACUUUUACAGUCUGUGAUAAAACACUUUGUGUACAUGUUGUUGAAACGUUAUGGAUAUUAGAAAGUUUUUCAAAAGACCACCCAGCUCCGUUCAAGCAACAGCAUCGGCCAGUGAACUGACGGAUGGUGUUGUUUCAGAUUGGACGUGAAGUACAGAGGCAGAGGGUCCAGAUCCCAAGGAGUCUCCCGUGUCCAUGUUGAUGGAACACUGUGAUGCCGCUUCACUCUGCUACUGGAGGAUCAGGCUGACUGCAACUGCUAUAGAUGAUAGAUGCUACUGAUGAUGAUAGAUGCUACUGAUGGCAGGAAAGCACAGCACACGUGAAUUUCUAGAUGAAGAGUGCAUAAAUGCACUUGCUUAACUGAUAAGUUGUCAAUGGUUAUUUAUGCAAGCUUGUGUAGGCUAACCCAGACAUACCUAGGCUUAGCCAAAUUUAUCCUGGCUGUAGAUAAAGCAGGAUAUGAAUUUCCCAAUAUUUUAGAUAGGCUAAUAGUGGUUUA